CCAGUUGGCCGGGCAGCCGCGCUUUACCAAUGCCGAAAGGCGGUAAGGUGAGGAAAGUCCGGGCUCCACGGAAACACGGUGCCGGAUAACGUCCGGCGAGGGCGACCUCAGGGAAAGUGCCACAGAAAGCAAACCGCCUGUCAUGACAGGUAAGGGUGAAAGGGUGGGGUAAGAGCCCACCGCAUCUCCGGCAACGGAUAUGGCACGGUAAACCCCACCGGGAGCAAGACCGAAUAGGGAUGACGCGGCGGGCCGAAACGCUCUCCGGCCGGUUUCCAGGCCAGUCAUCCGGGUGGGUUGCGUGAGGCAGCGUGCGAGCGCUGCCCCAGAGGAAUGGCUGCCACGUUCCGGUUCACGCCGGAGCCAUACAGAACCCGGCUUACAGGCCAACUGGCGAU
rnacentral:RNase_P_RNA from 1 species